AUGAACGCUGGCGGCGUGCUUAACACAUGCAAGUCGAGCGAAGCACUUACCAUUGACUCUUCGGAAGAUUUGGUAAAUGACUGAGCGGCGGACGGGUGAGUAACGCGUGGGUAACCUGCCUCAUACAGGGGAAUAACAGUUAGAAAUGGCUGCUAAUGCCGCAUAAGCGCACAGUACCGCAUGGUACGGUGUGAAAAACCGAGGUGGUAUGAGAUGGACCCGCGUCUGAUUAGGUAGUUGGUGGGGUAACGGCCUACCAAGCCGACGAUCAGUAGCCGGCCUGAGAGGGUGAACGGCCACAUUGGGACUGAGACACGGCCCAGACUCCUACGGGAGGCAGCAGUGGGGAAUAUUGCACAAUGGGGGAAACCCUGAUGCAGCGACGCCGCGUGAAGGAAGAAGUAUCUCGGUAUGUAAACUUC
rnacentral:rRNA from 1 species